ACUGUCCCUAGAGACCUUACAGAUACCUGCCCCAUGUACUUCAGUAGAUGGCAGAGAGGAGAGAGGCCAUGUCUGUGCUCAGUGUUCUGGACUAGGAACAUUUGAGGUACGCGCAGCCUGACAUU
ensembl:snoRNA